UACGUAGGGAGCAAGCGUUAUCCGGAUUUAUUGGGUGUAAAGGGUGCGUAGACGGGUAAUUAAGUUAGUUGUGAAAUCCCUCGGCUCAACUGAGGAACUGCAACUAAAACUGGUUAUCUUGAGUGCAGGAGAGGUAAGUGGAAUUCCUAGUGUAGCGGUGAAAUGCGUAGAUAUUAGGAGGAACACCAGUGGCGAAGGCGACUUACUGGACUGUAACUGACGUUGAGGCACGAAAGUGUGGGGAGCAAACAGG
rnacentral:rRNA from 1 species